UCUUGUUGUUUCUAGUCAUGUGGAAGCUCCUGUUGCAAUAAGGCUCUUGGGGAGGUUGAAACACCUUACUCUACAGCAAAAUAAGGUGGUUGUGGCUAUUAUGUCUCACUGGAAGCAUCACUUGUGCACCUGUGGAGAAAGGCAAGAGGGCUGGGACUGAACAGAGCUGAGACACCACAAACUCUUCCUUGGUAUACAUUCAGGGGAAUGGGGAGUGACUCUGACAAAGCACUAGUAGUGGCUAUGGAGUACAGAGCAGUCCUCCAUAUACCCUGUAUGAUGCUCCAGCAGCUGGUUCAUUGGGAUAUACAGUGGGUCAGUAUGGAGCUCCAGCAGUUGGCUUUGCAGUAGGUCAGUAUGGGUCUCCGGGAGGAGGUUCGGACAGAUAUGCAGCGGGUCAGUAUCAGACAGGACCUACAGUUUAACACUCAAUCUGGCAUCAACAAUGAUGAAAACGAGCCAGUUUUCAGUGACGUGUAUGGUCUGGAGCCAGUCUACUCCAUAAGUUCCCAUUCACGCUACCACAAAGGAAGAGCGGCUUUCGCCCAAACCCGCUACACCGCCACAGAAUCUCUUGGUUUGUCUGUGCCGCUAUUCCCAUACACCAGCUACAUGUUUGCUCCUCACAUUGUCUACUGAAGAUCUGGGACUAGCUCUCUUGAAUUGGGUUUCUCGAGCUAGUGAUGGUUGAUGGACUUGUCUUUACCUUGCAGGUGUUAAUGUUGUGUCUCUGCUGCUUAUGACUCAAAAUUUGUCAAUAAAUGACUUUGGUUUGACUUGUUUAAGUCAAUUCUGA